rnacentral:rRNA from 1 species
AGUGAACGCUGGCGGUAGGCCUAACACAUGCAAGUCGAACGGCAGCACAGUAAGAGCUUGCUCUUACGGUUGGCGAGUGGCGGACGGGUGAGGAAUACAUCGGAAUCUACUUUUUCGUGGGGGAUAACGUAGGGAAACUUACGCUAAUACCGCAUACGACCUACGGGUGAAAGCAGGGGAUCUUCGGACCUUGCGCGAUUGAAUGAGCCGAUGUCGGAUUAGCUAGUUGGCGGGGUAAAGGCCCACCAAGGCGACGAUCCGUAGCUGGUCUGAGAGGAUGAUCAGCCACACUGGAACUGAGACACGGUCCAGACUCCUACGGGAGGCAGCAGUGGGGAAUAUUGGACAAUGGGCGCAAGCCUGAUCCAGCCAUACCGCGUGGGUGAAGAAGGCCUUCGGGUUGUAAAGCCCUUUUGUUGGGAAAGAAAAGAAGCAGGUUAAUACCCCGAUGUUCUGACGGUACCCAAAGAAUAAGCAACGGCUAACUUCGUG